CUGAAGAUCACAAUGGAAAUACAGAGCACCUGACAAACAAGUUUCCAGACGACAGGCUUGGCGACCGAUAUUUACAGGUGCUCUGCUUUUAUGUAUGAUGUGACAUAUGAUGCCCUGUUUCCAGUUUGUGCAUAGCACUGUUUCAAUCAGUCUCAAUUCCAACACAAUUUACAUGCCAACCUAUUCUAUGUGAGGAGUCUUGAUCAUCUUCGGAGUGGUAGCUUUGUUCUUUGUGGUAUCAUCACUUUGUGCAUGCGAUGAUCUGAUGGCGGCUGUGGUUAGAGGUGUUGCGCAGUAUGCAAAUAUCACUUUGGUCUACCAGUCAAGAUGUGAGAUGACAUGGUUCACUGAUACUCAGGUUGAGAAACAAUUUUCUUUCCAGCAUGGUAGUUGGGAAAACAAACUGGACUCUGUAAAUCAGGGACAUGAUACACAUUUGCUUUGGUCCUAAGCUUCAGUGUGUAAAAAAUUACCAGUGUUGCAAAAUUGUAAACUCUUGUAUCGAUGUAUAACCGGAUGGUUAGCUGAAUGGAUAUCAAUUGAAGUCACUUGGGCUCAAUUGUGUUGAAACUGCUGGAACUCAGAGAGCCUGGGAUAUCCAGAGAAUGCAAGCAAAGCACGGCCCAUGCACAGUACCUGUAUGGGCCGUGCAUGGGCGGACAUUUCGGCGCCCUAACCUGCCUCUUGCUGAAAGCAUUUCGGAGACAUGUACUUUUACUCCAUUUUUUCUGUUUUGCUGCAUUUCUUCAUUUAUUAAGUGAUCUGGUCCUUCCACGGAAGGAAUCAUUUUGUAAAAUAGUCAUCUCUCCACCGAGAGCGAUGUAUGUCAACUCCAAUUAUAUGUACCUGCACGGCAUAAUUCUUAUGGUUGGACUUGGAUGCUUCCAAGCUAAUCAUUUGGGAAUUUCUCGCUCAACGCACUUCAUAAUCAUUUUGAUGAUCAGUUAGCAGUUGCCAGAUUAAUCUCCCCCCUUUCUUCUUCUCAGGGCAUCUCCAAUGGGAGACGCUUAAAUAGGCGCUUAUGGUAAGGAUUUUAGGCUAAGCGUCUGUGCUAGAGUCUGCACCUCCAACGCAAGUCGCAAAUAACAGGCGCUCCACGAGUUAAAAAUGAACAGAAACGUCAAGCGAAAAGGCUGGAGCGCUCGACGCCUAAUUUUGCUGCGGCGCUAACAAAUGAACGGGAUUUGGCUGGGAAUAAGACGUAACGGAUGGGAUUUUGACCCUGGCAUCCCGUCUUAGCGCUCCCGUUAUAGAUGCCCUCAGAGGACCAAUAUUGUUGUUGGCGAGAGACAAGAAUGUCCGCCGAGCGCUUCAGCUUGUAAGACUAGACUUUUUGUUGUCGUUGAGACAAGUCCAAACCUGCAAUUGCAUUAUCACUAGGAAAUAGGAAUCCAUACUUUCUAUCAUUAAACAGUGUAUGCAUUGAGAUCACUUGGUGGCCAUAGAAACUCAUAGCGCAUGAUGAUCUUCCAAGCACUUCUAUUUGUUGCGAAUGUACGUGCUUAGCAUCAGUAAUCCUUAUUAGCGGGUACCGAGUAAAAUGGCUCAAUUAAUCAGGAUUCAGAAAUUUCCAGGCAACUCGCAUCAUGCAGAAGCAUUCCCUAAACAAAAGGAAACGGAAUGUAAGAGCAACCACAACUCCACAAGAUUGGUUAGAAAAUGCAGGCCUGAUGUUCCUCCCCAUCACCCAUUCUAAGUCCAACGAUUCAAAACAAUUGAUUAACAGUCAUCCAACCGAUCGACACCCACACGCAGCACGUCCCCAUGUUGCGCUAAGCAUGGACACGGCCUCAUUUCUUUACGGCCACUUGCCACAGUCCCAUGAGAAAUGAUUAGUUCAAAAAUGUCAAUUAGGGGGGGUGGGGAAUCUCCUCUCAGAUCACGAUGUGCCCUCAUGCGUGCCUAAUAACAGUGGCAUCGCUUUGCAGGCAGGCAGCACAUCCCAGAGACGGAAUUAAGAAGGCAUACCACAGUGCAUUAUUAUUAGAUCGUGGUGCUCCUCGUGCCUAACGGUAGAGAAUUUUGUGAACUGGCUUGGCUUCCAUUUUCUUUUCUUUUCCCUCAACUACUGGCAGCGGCAUGGCCGGCCCAAUGGCUUAAAUUCCUGCUAUCCCUCUGAGACUAUAUUUUAAUCUUUGGAAUAUCUACAGCUUGAAUAAUACAGUGUGAAAUAAUUCAAGUGGCAGAGCAUGCCAAUCUAUGCCAGGCUAGAGAACACAAGAAAGCCAAGUGAUCGAUUUAACACAGGGAUAGCUAGGAUGAUUAUGUGUUGAGAUAAGUACUUUCUUGACAUGUUUUACUGCGAGAAGAAGAAGCUGAUGGAUGGAGCAUCGUGUGUGCCAGGCGAAAAGCCAAGGGAGGGAAUAUGCUGCUCGCCGGCAAAGGCAUUUUGGGGUUGAGAGCAAAAGGAAAGGGUGGAGGAAAGGGGAGAAAGGUAGCUAGCUGGCUCCCGGAGAAUGUUCAUUUUGUGCGGUACGUUCCCGUCGUGGAACGGAGUGCAGCACGUCACGCGCGCUCAAUCCGCUCCUCCUUGUAGCUUCCACCGGAAUAAAGCUGCGUGCAUCUCCUUUUUCCCUUGGCAUCCUCGACGAUCUUCCUUCUUCCACCUCCGUGGAACAAAACAGUAAUGCCAUGUACGUGAUGGGGGAUCUGGCCCGGUCGCCAGCAUGGUCACGUUGCCAUGGCUAGCGCAUUAAUGAUCCAUCACGCACCUGCAGCCUCGUCCAAGCUAAGAUGCUCGCCACGAGAUGGGUGGCAAGGAAGCAUCCAUCGAUCCAUCACCUCUAUCGUACUUGUUCCAAUAUUUUGUCGGAGAAAUAAUCGUAGUCCCUUCGAUCCAUAUUACUCGUCGCGGUUUUACCACAACUUUGCAUCAAUCAGUUGAUGCGAAGAAAACAGGUGAUAAUUCUCUGGCACGUCGACGCUCGUAGAAAAAAUGUGUAUGGAUUCAGGCGACAGUCGACGAGGGGCCAUAUGAUUAGCACGCCGUGGGGAUGCAUGCAUGACCUUUGGCUUGAGAAAUACUCCUACAAAAAUGCAUGUGACGCGUCGCCGGCCAUGUCUCGUGCCGCAUCGAUCCCACUGUCCCAAGCCGGCCGGCGGUUGAAUCUACCCUACCCCCUCUCGAUCAUUGCGUUGCGAUGCUCGACAUGGGGAAUUCCGUUCAUAUGCUCCGUGUGAAAUGAGGUAGUACCAGUCUACGUGCAUGCACCAAAAUUUCUACUAUAGCAUAAUAUGUUUCCAAGGGGCCGGGUACGCACAGGACUAGUUUUGUAAGCACUCCGAUGAGCAUAGUUUGCGAAUACUUGUGGUCGAUUCAGCGCAAAGGACCGGCUGAAACCGACAGCAAUAUACUACUCGAUCAGAUGCUCUUAUCCUCGCCUCGUUUUACAUCUCGUGCGCGCGCCAGCAUCGGGGACUGACCGGUUCUCUGAACGUGUUCAUCACUCUGCCAUCGAUCUUCUGACAUUUACUACUAACUGUCAAUUCAUAGUUUAAGAUCCGCGGACGAUUCACCGAACCCAUUUGAACGGCGAAAACUACUGGUGGUAGUAGUAACAGUACAUCACAUCACUAGAUGCGUCCACGCAUCCAAUGGCUAAUUUGACUGUGAUUUGCGAGCGUACCACUCCUGCGAGUUUCCAACUCUUGUGUUAAGGGCAUGUACAAUGCAUAGCCCUAGGGUGAUGCCUCGCAUGUCAUGUAGGAUCGGAUAUCAGGUAAAUUAGGUUCGGAUAGGGAAGUGGGAUCCUCUGCAGGAGGCGGGUGCUUGGAGAGAAAAAGUGUGGUCCGGUGACAAAAGCUGAAAAGGUUGGAGUGAAAAGUAGAGAUGCAUGUGUAUUAGAGUCUUUAUUUUCUACUCCCUCCGUUUCUAAAUAUUUGUCUUUCUAGAGGUUUCAACAAGUGACUACAUACGGAGCAAAAUGAGUGAAUCUACACUCUAAAAUAUGUCUAUAUACAUCCGUAUGUGGUAACCAUUUCAAAUCUCUAGAAAGACAAAUAUUUAGAAACGGAGGGAGUAUUUCUUAAUGAGGCCCACUAGUUGUAACUUACAUUGGGGAGAAGAAAUAAAUGUAGGUGCCUCAAACUACUUUUUGUCAUGGGACGUAUGUAUCCAUAUGCCACCAUUGUACAUGCCCUAAGAAGCUUGGGACUCUUUUAUCUCGUGCUGAACGGACGUAAGCCUCAAACCCCGAUGAGGCGCCGAUGGACAGAUGUAACCGAUGAGCUAGAUCAUCGCACGUGCGUACGUCUCCGACGGUGUUAGGGGGAGCUGAGCUCCGACCCCUCAGGCCAACUCCACCGCGCGACCCCAUCCUGUCCGCCCCUGUCCGUUUGGGGUAAAAUGGACAAACCAGACGGCCCAGCGCGCGGGCGCAAACGGACUUUUGUCCGUUUUGUGUCCGCUUUUGACCCAUCCCCGGCCCAAGUUUGCGCCGGUUUUGGGGUGAAACAGACAGCGCGCGGACGGGCAGGACGCGCGCGCUUGUCCUCCCCUGGCCCGCCUGUCGGUGAGGGAAACCANNNNNNNNNNNNNNNNNNNNNNNNNNNNNNNNNNNNNNNNNNNNNNNNNNNNNNNNNNNNNNNNNNNNNNNNNNNNNNNNNNNNNNNNNNNNNNNNNNNNNNNNNNNNNNNNNNNNNNNNNNNNNNNNNNNNNNNNNNNNNNNNNNNNNNNNNNNNNNNNNNNNNNNNNNNNNNNNNNNNNNNNNNNNNNNNNNNNNNNNNNNNNNNNNNNNNNNNNNNNNNNNNNNNNNNNNNNNNNNNNNNNNNNNNNNNNNNNNNNNNNNNNNNNNNNNNNNNNNNNNNNNNNNNNNNNNNNNNNNNNNNNNNNNNNNNNNNNNNNNNNNNNNNNNNNNNNNNNNNNNNNNNNNNNNNNNCUGCCGCCUCCUCUCUCCCCCGUCCAUGGCCGACGCCCCGCCGAAUUCCGGCGGCCUGGCCGUCGACCCACCAAGAAAGGUGAAGAAGAAGGCGGCCAAGGCGCCAAGGAAGCCGCGGUCGGAGUGCACGCCGGAGGAGAUCGCCAAGUUGGACGCGGAAUCGGUGAAGAGGAGGAAACGGAGAGCGGUCGUCAAGGUCAAUGCCGCCGCGGCCAAGUUCGCCGCCCAGCGCGAUGCGAUGGAGGCCGCGCGGCGCAAGGGCGCGGUCGACGAGAAGGAGGACCUCGUUAACAAAGUGCACACCCUCCUCAUGCUUGGCAUGGGCCGUCCGGCCGGUUUCCCUGCAGCGGCCGUCGGCCCGGCGAGCACAGGCUCGCGGUCGCCCGGCCUCCGCACUGCAAGUCGCCGACAUCGCGGACCACGCCCAUGUCGCCCGGCUUUCCUCCGCCAAGGCACGACGGCCAGACCCGUUUCUCGGGGUCGCCGAACGUCGGCUUGUUCGCGCCGUCGACACCGCGCCCCGCGGCCGUCAUCGACCUCAGUGUCACGCCUGGGUCCAGCAGUGGCGGCCGGCUGUCCGUCGAGAUGCAAAGAAAGCAAGCACGGGCACCGUUCAUGGGCACCAUGCCGGGCCCCCGCGUCUUGUUUGACGGAAUGCCAACACCAACUCCACGGUCGACGACCCCUUCUACAACCAGUACAUGGAGGACAUGAUCUUCGAGGGUGGGCAGGGCCGUGCCUACGACCCCGACGAGACCCAAAGUCAGGAUGGCCGCGCCCAGUACGUCCCCGAUGAAGAGGCCGACGACCGUGCUGACUACGACCAUGGUGACUCGUGGCAUGAAGACAAUGACAUCUAUGUCGAAGGUGAUGGUGAUGAAGAAGAAGGCAAUGACGUUGAUAUUAGUGGCGAACCAUUGUUCAUCGACGAGCUCACCCAAAGAGCGGAAGCACAAAAGAAGAGGAAGAGCAUUCGCACGGGUUCAUAUACACAAGAUGAGGACAAGUUGAUUUGCCAAUCUUGGAUGGAGAUUAGCCAAGAUCCGAGGACCGGCGCGCAACAAAAGGGCCUUGUUUUUUUGGACGAGAGUCCACAAAAAUUUCCAUGAAAGGAAGAUGUUUGAGCCCUACCAAAUUACAAGCAACCGUGGCAUCGGCUCGAUUCAAAAGAGGUGGUUGUUCAUCCAACAAGAGUGCAACAAGUAUUGCGCCGCAUUUGAGAGCGUUGAAGCACGACCUGUGAGUGGUCUCGGCGUUGGGGACAUGGUAUGCUGUCUUCUUCCUAGUCCUUUCCUGGCUACGGCCAUGAGACUUCGGCCUUGUAUAUGUUUGCAUGUUCACUUGUUGUUGAUCAUGUGGUGUAGGCAUUUCAAUCUUUGGAGGCAUUCAAGGCCCGACACAAUGACAAGCCAUUCACUCUUACGCAUUGUUGGACGAUCAUCAACAAUUGCCCUAAGUUCAAGGACCAAUACCGUGAACUUCAAAGGAAGAGAGGAUUGAAGACGACCAAGUUCGCCGGAGGUGGAGAUGGCGAGGCGUUGAAGAGGCAGAGGGGCAAGACCAACUCCAAGGUUGACGACAUACGUGAUGCCUCAUCCAUGGCAUUGCAUGACACUUUGCAUGGCAUGAUGUCUCAAAAGGAUGUGAAGGACGAGAAGAAGCGGCAAAGCAAGGACGAGCAGAUGAAGCAAUACCUAGACCUUCAAAGGAAGAAGCUUGAGAUGGAGGAGGCGGCCAAGAGGAGGAAGAUCGACAUGGAGGAGGCGGUCCGGCAAAGGCAGCUCGACAUCGAGGCCGACAACGUCAAGGCCAGGCAGAGGCAGCUCGACAUCGAGGCCACCAAUGCCGCCACCAAAGUGAAGGAGGUGGCACUUGCGAUCAUGAGCGUGGACUUGUCGAAGAUGAGCGAGAAGACGAGGGCCUGGUUCGAGGCCAGGCAGAAGGAGAUGCUCGACGCCGAAGGCCUGAACUAGGUCGUCUGAUCGGCCGUGGCCGUUCUUUUUGGAGGGUGGCAUGGGUGCCGGCGAGAAAAAACAUUCAUUUUGGAGGCCGGCGCCACCGCAUUUCAGGACACGUUCGGACACGACCCAUUGCCCUACCUAAACGGACGGAAACCGGACAAAACGGACGUCCGUUUGAGGUCGCGCGGUGGAGUUGGCCUCGCUCACUCACAUGCAGGCAUGGCAUGGAUUUCAGGCGCCGCGCGUGCUCACUGAAACUGAAAGCAAGCCAAAGACAAAGGGACGUAGUAGCAGCAUCGAGGACGGGCGAUAGAUACAGUGCACUGCAUGGGAGUGCGGGAAAGUGAUCACCCCGGCCCGGCCCGCAAAAGGCACAUUCCCUGAUCGAUCGACCCGGCCUCUCGCCUUUAACCUGCCGCUGUGUCAUCGUCGAUCUGCACUUUGGCACCUCUCCCGGCCAGGACCGGCCGGAGGCCAUCGCUUUGCAGGUUUAUUCGCAUGGCAGUGGCAUGCAUCCCUCUGUCGUCUCCUCGUAAAGCAGCCACCGCGACGCGUACGUCCUCGUCUGGCCCGGGCCAGGGACCGGCAUGGCCAUGCCAAAGACAGCCAGACACCAGUCACCACUCACCAGUGUGUGUGUUGCGUUGGUGGUGCACACACGAGGUACGUACGUACAUAUGCAUGCGCCUGAUGCCCGGCGGCGUGGCGCGCUGGUGACCCCGCGAACUCCGCGACCUCAGCGCCGGCUAACGUAGACGCAUGCUCGUGAUGUGCUCUGUUGCGCUGCGCCCGGGUCUCGCUUUCGGCUUAGCCAGCUAGUUUCGCCGUCGUUCCCCGGCAACCCUCGCUUUCGCCUCGAGGAAGAGCAAAACGAUGGGAACAUCCAUGCGCGCGUACGUACAUAUUGUUUAGUUAUUACUAGUAGUAAUCAUAGAUGUGUACAACCAGUACGUACGUCCCCCACACUCCGCUGGGUUCAUGCAUGAACCAUCUCCUUGAUCGAUCCAAUCAUUGGCCCUGUUUGGAUACUCUAACUCAGUUAGAGGUUAGAGUUAGAUUCUAAUCCUGAACCAACCUUAAACUAACUCUAACCAAAGAGCUGUUUGGAUGGUAAGGUUAGAUUGAUAAUAAAUAUUCUUUCUCAAUCGUUUGACUACUUUAGACCAUGUUUGGAUGGGAGGGGUAACUUUUUUUACUAAUUUUUUUAGUGGGCCCAAAAGAACUAACCCAAAUAAGCUCCUCUAGUGUGGGCUAGUUUUUUGGGGUGGGUUAGAUCCAACUAACCCAAACUAACCCAUCAUGGUUGGAUACUUUUGGGUUAUUUGAGCUCCAACUAACCAAAACUAACUCUAACUUAGGGAUCCAAACAGGGCCAUUGGGUAAGAUGCACAUAUGCUAUAAUGUAACAGAAAGAAAAUGCCAACGACCUGAAGAGGAAGUGCGUCUUCUCUAAUCUUUAAAUUUAAAGGAACAUCCAGAUCUGUAUAGUUAGUUUGGGCCGUUUCAUACCGGUCGGUCGGCGAGGAGUAGAUUGGUAGUAGGAACUAAUUGGUCUACGAACUACUAGUAUUUCAACAAGGAAAAUGCAUAGGUUAAAUUUAAUAAAAUGGUUGUGUGCAUCCUUGCAAACCCCCUCUCACACACAAAAAAAAAAUGGUUGUGUGCAUUGUAUAAUACAUAGGCCGAGGUUAUUCUUUUUUUGAAAGAAAAAAUGCAUAGGAGCUCUUGGGUGCCCGUGAAACCUAUAUGAAUAUUUAAAAAAUACCAGAAAAAAUAAAAAAAUCUAAAAUAUUGGGUAUCAAAUCUGAUCGAUCAUUCUACUGACGUGUGGAGUUUCAUGAAGAAUCUUCGUGUAAAAUCAUUUGUCGAAUAAGUUAGCUGAGACACUGUUAAUGCUCUGGAAAAAAAAUACUAGACAGACCAAAGUAGUGAUCAACCCGUACAGUGCAUGUGGGCAAGAAAGGCAUGGCAUGGGCGCAUCCGCGGAGGGAGAAGGCGUCCAAUUCAAAAUGUUCAGAAGAGGAAAUGUUAGAAAUGAGCCUGGAGCUCCACAGAUGUUCAAAUUCAAUACGAAUCAGUGUUCAAGAUAUCGGAUACUCUACUUGUUGUUGGUCAAAGACGUG
rnacentral:lncRNA from 1 species